UUGGUGAUGCAUUGAUCAUGGGAGGCUGCAGCCGGUGGCAGCGGCCCCGCCGUGAUAGGCUUGCGGUGUGGCAAGGCGGCAUGGUGCAGGACGGCAAGAUUGACGGGGGUUGUUGAGCUCGUGUGGAGGCGAUCGUAGGUCUGGUAGCGGCUGACGUUGCUUGGUAACUAUCAGUGCGGUGUGGGACUGCGUCGAAGGACGACGCUUGUAGCAACGGUAUCAUGGGAUGACUAGGCUUGUAGCGGAUUGUGGCGGGUUACUCAGCUUUGUAGGGCUACUCCGGUGUGGUACAUCGUCGAAAGACGGCACAAGUGACUACUUUGGCUUACUGACAUGGCAGCGUAGGCUAUGUGCGCGGGUGGUGCAACGAGGCGAAGUCGACAAUCAGCGGCGGCUUGGCUGUUUGAUGGAGACCUUGGGAAGCGGGGCAAUAUUGCUCACCAGCGACAAAAGAAACGAAUCCGUGGUAUGGAGUACUGUGGUGGGUGUGGUGAGGGCCCCGCACACGGUGUUUCUUCGAGGCGAUGA
rnacentral:lncRNA from 1 species